UGCAUAUCAAUAAGCGGAGGAAAAGAAACCAACAGGGAUUGCCUUAGUAGCGGCGAGUGAAGCGGCAAAAGCUCAAAUUUGAAAUCUGGCGCCUUCGGUGUCCGAGUUGUAAUUUGAAGAUUGUAACCUUGGGGUUGGCUCUUGUCUAUGUUUCUUGGAACAGGACGUCACAGAGGGUGAGAAUCCCGUGCGAUGAGAUGCCCAAUUCUAUGUAAGGUGCUUUCGAAGAGUCGAGUUGUUUGGGAAUGCAGCUCUAAGUGGGUGGUAAAUUCCAUCUAAAGCUAAAUAUUGGCGAGAGACCGAUAGCGAACAAGUACAGUGAUGGAAAGAUGAAAAGAACUUUGAAAAGAGAGUGAAAAAGUACGUGAAAUUGUUGAAAGGGAAGGGUUUGAGAUCAGACUCGAUAUUUUGUGAGCCUUGCCUUCGUGGCGGGGUGACCCGCAGCUUAUCGGGCCAGCAUCGGUUUGGGCGGUAGGAUAAUGGCGUAGGAAUGUGACUUUACUUCGGUGAAGUGUUAUAGCCUGCGUUGAUGCUGCCUGCCUAGACCGAGGACUGCGAGUAUCAAGAGCUGCAAAACCCAAUACACC
rnacentral:rRNA from 1 species